rnacentral:sRNA from 1 species
GCUGGGUGCAGUGGCACGCUCUUGUAAUCCCAGCAGCUUGGGAGGCUGAGGCAGGAGGAUCUCGAGUUCAAAGCCAGCCUCCAGCAACUCGGCGAGACCCCUGUCUCUA